AAACAAGUCAAGCAUGGAAGAAAAGCGUAGCUCGGAUGCAAGGUAAAAUUUAGCACCGGAGGACGAUCAAGCUCAGCGAGGAACCGAACACAUAAAGAACAAAGCUUCCGCAUGACGUUUCGUUGUUACUUUUAAAUGAAGAACUUAAUUACAUUAUGUUCUGAACUGUUACAUUGUAAAAGGUUUUAAUAAGCCUGUAUUUUCGAUGUA